UGAUAAUGUGAGUGUGUUUCUCUUUGAAAACUAUAAAAAGUAAAUUUCUUAGUGGUAAAACCAUGUAAAGGUUCAAACUUUGAAGUUUAUUGAGUUAAUCUUUGUGAUCAGGUAGUGUUGGUUGGAUUGGAUUGUGAGAAUGAAGGAGUAAUACAUCUGAGGCUCUGGUCUGAGCCAUUCAUUUUUUUUCUUUCUGAGAAUUUCAAAUGCUUUCUUAGUAUAUGCUUACCUUGACAUACUCACUGCCGAUCUUUACUAAGUGACUGGAAUUUGGCAGAAUCUCCCACAGUAGAAGCAGUGUAGUGGUAUAUAGAUUAAAGGGUCCAAGACCCAGAUACCCAAGAGCCUGGAAAGCAAUAAGGAGAUUGGGACAUUUUGAAGUCCCUCAAGCUUGUUGAGUGUGUAAGUUUCUCUUUUCUUUUUUUGCUUAUUUUAUCAGUGCACCCUUUUGCAUAUAUUUAUGUUUAGUGUUGAAAGUAGUAAGUACUCUUUUUUUGUAGAUUAAGGGUCUGUCAAAUGUGAAAGAGGAGGUUUAUGGGGCCCUUGAUUCUUUCAUUGUUUGGGAAUUGAAAUUCCCUUUGAAAUUCCCUCUGAAAAUUUGUUAAUUCUAAUCUCUCAGCUUUUUGAUUGGGCGAAGUUUUUCAAUUUGCAUCUUCGAUCUAAGUGAAGUUUACGGUUUUUCUGUCAACAGCUGUGUGCUUUGGUUUGAUCAGCAGCUCUGAUUGAUAACUUGAGAUAUGCCAGAGCUUGCUGAGGUUGAAGCGGCUCGUCUUCAUUUCUACAACAACCGCUAUCAGGUUAAGCCCAGUGGCGACCUUUUUUGGCGGAUGCAGUUCCUGAGAGAGAAAAAGUUCAUUCAGACAAUUCCUCCAGUAAAAGUUG